CCUACGGGAGGCAGCAGUGGGGGAUAUUGCACAAUGGGCGGAACCCUGAUGCAGCGACGCCGCGUGGGCGAAGAAGCGCCUCGGCUCGUAAAGCCCUGUCAGCAGGGAAGAUAAUGACGGUACUUGAAGAAGAAGCCCCGGCUAACUACGUGCCAGCAGCCGCGGUAAUACGUAGGGGGCUAGCGUUAUCCGGAUUUACUGGGGGUAAAGGGGGCGCAGAUGGUGUCGUAAGUCAGAGGUGAAAGCCCAGGGCCCAACCGUAGUAAGCCUUUGGAACUGGGUAGCUUGAGUGCAGGGGGGGCAGGCGGAAUUCCUGGUGUAGCGGUGAAAUGCGUAGAUAUCAGGAGGAACACCAGUGGCGAAGGCGGCUUGCUGGACUGUAACUGACGUUGAGGCACGAAAGCGUGGGGAGCAAACAGGAUUAGAUACCCGUGUAGUC
rnacentral:rRNA from 1 species